GGGGAGGGAGGGAUGGGGGUGCAGGGCCGGGACUCACACGGGCGCGCCCAGCGAGGCAGUCCUGCGCCGCUUCACCUGCACCGCUGCCUCGGGCGCCUGCUGGUCGGGGCGUCGCUGGGGCAGGCGGUCCCUGCGAAGGGGCCGGCGGGUCAGGGGGACCCGGUGCCCCCCAAAC